rnacentral:piRNA from 1 species
UCUCACCUAUGUAUCAGGUUGUCUUCAAC